rnacentral:lncRNA from 1 species
UUUUUUAAAGCUCUUUUUGAUGACGUGACUAAGGCAAACUAGAUUACAGAUGACUAACCAUAUUUUAGUGAUAUUAGAGUCCACUUGAGAUCAUAAAUACAUCAGAGAUUCUGCUCUUGAACCUUACUAUUAGAAUACUAAAACUGGUUUGGCAAAUUUUCAUAUGCCAGUAACUGAAUGUAGAUAGUGAAAAGCCUUUAUUAUACUUUUUUUUUUAAACCAUGUAUAAACUUUUCAAUGUCUGCUUUUUAUGCUUAUGUUUUCUUAUAUAGCACAUAACACCAACAGAUGCUAUUAACUUUGCAUACAAAGAGGUAAUAUGAAAUUGAAAUAAGUUUUAACUGUUGCUCUGUUCUUUUUAGCUUACUUUACCCAGAGCUCUUCUAUCCAGUGAGUUGCAAGCGUGACAUUUGCUGUGUUUUCAGCACCUGCCAACUUGGAAACCAGGGUUUGUGCUCAGGACGUAGGCUUACAACCCAUACUUUGUGGUACACAAUGCUGUCCCAGCUGGCAUGCUUUGGUACCUCAAUGGUGCUAGACAUUCAGUUACAAAGCUUUGCGGCUUCACAUGCUCUGCUUUCAACUCUUAUUUUGUAUCAAAGGAGUGAGAUUGGUAUCAUUAAAUUCACCGUGGUGGUGAUUUUUCAAUGAAAAUAAAUUUGCUUUUUUAGUUCUUGGAUCAAAA